rnacentral:rRNA from 1 species
AAGUACCCCGAGGAAAAGAAAUCAACCGAGAUUCCCCCAGUAGCGGCGAGCGAACGGGGAGCAGCCCAGAGUCUGAAUCAGCUUGUGUGUUAGUGGAACGGUCUGGAAAGUCCGACGGUACAGGGUGAUAGUCCCGUACACCAAAAUGCACAGGCUGUGAACUCGAAGAGUAGGGCGGGACACGUGGUAUCCUGUCUGAAUAUGGGGGGACCAUCCUCAAAAGAACCCCGGCGAGGGGAGUGAAAAAGAACCUGAAACCGUGUACGUACAAGCAGUGGGAGCACCUUCGGGUGUGACUGCGUACCUUUUGUAUAAUGGGUCAGCGACUUAUAUUCUGUAGCAAGGUUAACCGUAUAGGGGAGCCGCAGGGAAACCGAGUCUUAACUGGGCGUUAAGUUGCAGGGUAUAGACCCGAAACCCGGUGAUCUAGCCAUGGGCAGGUUGAAGGUUGGGUAACACUAACUGGAGGACCGAACCGACUAAUGUUGAAAAAUUAGCGGAUGACUUGUGGCUGGGGGUGAAAGGCCAAUCAAACCGGGAGAUAGCUGGUUCUCCCCGAAAGCUAUUUAGGUAGCGCCUCGUGAACUCAUCUUCGGGGGUAGAGCACUGUUUCGGCUAGGGGGUCAUCCCGACUUACCAACCCGAUGCAAACUACGAAUACCGAAGAAUGUUAUCACGGGAGACACACGGCGGGUGCUAACGUCCGUCGUGAAGAGGGAAACAACCCAGACCGCCAGCUAAGGUCCCAAAGUCAUGGUUAAGUGGGAAACGAUGUGGGAAGGCACAGACAGCCAGGAUGUUGGCUUAGAAGCAGCCAUCAUUUAAAGAAAGCGUAAUAGCUCACUGGUCGAGUCGGCCUGCGCGGAAGAUGUAACGGGGCUAAACCAUGCACCGAAGCUGCGGCAGCGACACUAUGUGUUGUUGGGUAGGGGAGCGUUCUGUAAGCCUGCGAAGGUGUGCUGUGAGGCAUGCUGGAGGUAUCAGAAGUGCGAAUGCUGACAUAAGUAACGAUAAAGCGGGUGAAAAGCCCGCUCGCCGGAAGACCAAGGGUUCCUGUCCAACGUUAAUCGGGGCAGGGUGAGUCGACCCCUAAGGCGAGGCCGAAAGGCGUAGUCGAUGGGAAACAGGUUAAUAUUCCUGUACUUGGUGUUACUGCGAAGGGGGGACGGAGAAGGCUAUGUUAGCCGGGCGACGGUUGUCCCGGUUUAAGCAUGUAGGCUGAUUGUCCAGGCAAAUCCGGAUAAUCAAGGCUGAGGUGUGAUGACGAGGCACUACGGUGCUGAAGUAACAAAUGCCCUGCUUCCAGGAAAAGCCUCUAAGCAUCAGGUAACAUUAAAUCGUACCCCAAACCGACACAGGUGGUCAGGUAGAGAAUACCAAGGCGCUUGAGAGAACUCGGGUGAAGGAACUAGGCAAAAUGGUGCCGUAACUUCGGGAGAAGGCACGCUGGUGUGUAGGUGAAGUCCCUGCGGAUGGAGCUGAGACCAGUCGAAGAUACCAGCUGGCUGCAACUGUUUAUUAAAAACACAGCACUGUGCAAACACGAAAGUGGACGUAUACGGUGUGACGCCUGCCCGGUGCCGGAAGGUUAAUUGAUGGGGUUAUCCGUAAGGAGAAGCUCUUGAUCGAAGCCCCGGUAAACGGCGGCCGUAACUAUAACGGUCCUAAGGUAGCGAAAUUCCUUGUCGGGUAAGUUCCGACCUGCACGAAUGGCGUAAUGAUAUGCAGUGUACCCGCGGCAAGACGGAAAGACCCCGUGAACCUUUACUAUAGCUUGACACUGAACAUUGAGCCUUGAUGUGUAGGAUAGGUGGGAGGCUUGGAAGCGUGGACGCCAGUCUGCGUGGAGCCAACCUUGAAAUACCACCCUUUACUGUUUGAUGUUCUAACGUUGGCCCCUGACCGGGGUUGCGGACAGUGUCUGGUGGGUAGUUUGACUGGGGCGGUCUCCUCCCAAAGAGUAACGGAGGAGCACGAAGGUUAGCUAAUCCUGGUCGGACAUCAGGAGGUUAGUGCAAUGGCAUAAGCUAGCUUGACUGCGAGCGUGACGGCGCGAGCA